CACCUCUGUGAUCCUGGGUGAGGCCCAGUUCUACAAAUCCCAAUAUUGUGUUUUGCCCUGCUAGGACAAUUUGACAACACUAAGUGACAGAUACAGAAUACCCUGCUGGGGUUAUUACACAUUACUGUCAUUUAUACAGACCCUGCUGGGGUCCACUAGCAUUAUUUACACUACAACAGAUAACCUGCUGGGGUACCCCAUAUCACACACCCUGCUGGGGUUGUUUUGAUACUUUGAGACAAUAAAUUGCACACAAUAAAUUUCACACUACUACACCCUGCUGGGGUCUGCAU